ACACAUAUAUAUAUAUGUAUAUAUAUAUAUAUAUAUAUAUCUAUGUUCUUACAUAAUUAACCCCGAUUACAUAUUCUAUCUAUAAUCCCUAACACCUAUCGGUAAAAAACCUAUUCCCGUUUCGUUGAACGGAAUCCGGAAUGCCGCGUGCGACGA